GAUGAACGCUGGCGGCGUGCUUAACACAUGCAAGUCGAACGAGAAGUGAAGACGGAAACCUUCGGGCGGAAGGCUUUAUUUCGAGUGGCGGACGGGUGAGUAACGCGUGGGUAACCUGCCUCAUACAGGGGGAUAACAGUUGGAAACGACUGUUAAUACCGCAUAAGACCACAGCACCGCAUGGUGCGGGGGUAAAAACUCCGGUGGUAUGAGAUGGACCCGCGUUCGAUUAGCCAGUUGGCGGGGUAACGGCCCACCAAAGCGACGAUCGAUAGCCGAUCUGAGAGGAUGACCGGACACAUUGGGACUGAGACACGGCCGAAACUCCUACGGGAGGCAGCAGUGGGGAAUAUUGCAAAAUGGGGGAAAUGCUGAUGCAGCGACGCCGCGUGAGUGAAGAAGUAUUUCGGUAUGUAAAGCUCUAUCAGCAGGGAAGAAAAUGACGGUACCUGAGUAAGAAGCCCCGGCUAACUACGUG
rnacentral:rRNA from 1 species